UAAGCUCUCCGCCUGGGAGUCGGUCGCAAGAUUAAACUCAAAGAAUUGACGGGGCCCGCACAAGCGGUGGAGCAUGUGUUUAAUUCGAAGCAACGCGAAGAACCUUACCAGCCCUUGACAUGGCAGGACGGUUACCAGAGAUGGUUUCCUUCACUUCGGUGACCUGCACACAGGUGCUGCAUGGCUGUCGUCAGCUCGUGUCGUGAGAUGUUGGGUUAAGUCCCGCAACGAGCGCAACCCUCGCCCUUAGUUGCCAUCAUUUAGUUGGGCACUCUAAGGGGACUGCCGGUGAUAAGCCGGAGGAAGGUGGGGAUGACGUCAAGUCUUCAUGGCCCUUACGGGCUGGGCUACACACGUGCUACAAUGGCGGUGACAGAGGGUUGCUACACAGCGAUGUGAUGCUAAUCCCUAAAAGCCGUCUCAGUUCGGAUUGCACUCUGCAACUCGGGUGCAUGAAGUCGGAAUCGCUAGUAAUCGCAGAUCAGCACGCUGCGGUGAAUACGUUCCCGGGCCUUGUACACACCGCCCGUCACACCAUGGGAGUUGGUUCUACCCGAAGCCGGUGCGCUAACCGCAAGGAAGCAGCCGACCACGGUAGGGUCAGCGACUGGGGU
rnacentral:rRNA from 1 species